CACGUAGGGGACGAGCGUUGUCCGGAUUCAUUGGGCGUAAAGCGUGCGUAGGCGGCUCGGAAAGUCGGGCGUGAAAUGCCGGGGCUCAACCCCGGGACUGCGUCCGAUACUUCCGAGCUGGAGGUAGGUAGGGGAGAUCGGAAUUCCUGGUGUAGCGGUGAAAUGCGCAGAUAUCAGGAGGAACACCGGUGGCGAAGGCGGAUCUCUGGGCCUUACCUGACGCUGAGGCGCGAAAGCUAGGGGAGCGAACAGG
rnacentral:rRNA from 1 species